rnacentral:rRNA from 1 species
GGCGAGGGGAGUGAAAAAGAACCUGAAACCGUGUACGUACAAGCAGUGGGAGCACAGGUUUACCUGUGUGACUGCGUACCUUUUGUAUAAUGGGUCAGCGACUUAUAUUCUGUAGCAAGGUUAACCGUAUAGGGGAGCCGUAGGGAAACCGAGUCUUAACCGGGCGUUAAGUUGCAGGGUAUAGACCCGAAACCCGGUGAUCUAGCCAUGGGCAGGUUGAAGGUUGGGUAACACUAACUGGAGGACCGAACCGACUAAUGUUGAAAAAUUAGCGGAUGACCUGUGGCUGGGGGUGAAAGGCCAAUCAAACCGGGAGAUAGCUGGUUCUCCCCGAAAGCUAUUUAGGUAGCGCCUCGUGAACUCAUCUCCGGGGGUAGAGCACUGUUUCGGCUAGGGGGCCAUCCCGGCUUACCAACCCGAUGCAAACUGCGAAUACCGGAGAAUGUUAUCACGGGAGACACACGGCGGGUGCUAACGUCCGUCGUGAAGAGGGAAACAACCCAGACCGCCAGCUAAGGUCCCAAAGUCAUGGUUAAGUGGGAAACGAUGUGGGAAGGCCCAGACAGCCAGGAUGUUGGCUUAGAAGCAGCCAUCAUUUAAAGAAAGCGUAAUAGCUCACUGGUCGAGUCGGCCUGCGCGGAAGAUGUAACGGGGCUAAACCAUGCACCGAAGCUGCGGCAGCGACACUGUGUGUUGUUGGGUAGGGGAGCGUUCUGUAAGCCUGUGAAGGUGGCCUGUGAGGGUUGCUGGAGGUAUCAGAAGUGCGAAUGCUGACAUAAGUAACGAUAAAGCGGGUGAAAAGCCCGCUCGCCGGAAGACCAAGGGUUCCUGUCCAACGUUAAUCGGGGCAGG